GGGUGAUAGAUAUACAGAGUUGUGAUAGAUAUACAGAGUGAUGAGAAAUAUACAAAGUGAUGAUAGAUAUACAGAGUGGUGGUAGAUAUACAAAGUGGUGAUAGAUAUACAGAGUGGUGAUAGAUAUAUAGAGUGGUGGUAGCUAUACAGAUUUGUGAUUGAUUUAAAGAGUGGUGAUAAAUAAACAGAGUGGUGAUAUAUAUAAAGAGUGGUAAUUGAUGUACAGAGAGUGGUGAUAGAUAUACAGAUUGAUGAUAGAUAUAAAAACGUAGUGAUAUACAAAGUGGUUUUAGAUAAUAGAGUGGUGAUAGAUAUAUAGAUGGGAGAAAACAGAGUGAUGGUCGAUAUACAGAUUGGUGAUAGAUAUACAAAGUGGUGAAAGAUAUAAAGAGAGGUGAUAGAUAGACAGGGGGUGAAGAUAUACCAGAGUGAUGAGAAAUAACAAGUAUGAUAGAUAUACAGAGUGUGUAGAUAUACAAAGUGUGAUAGACACGAGUGGUGAGAUAUAUAGAGUGGUGUAGCUAUACAGAUUUGUGAUGAUUUAAAGAGUGGUGAUAUAUAUAAAGGUCGUAUUGAUAUCAGAGAGUGUGAUAGAUAUACGAUUGAUGAUAGAUAUAAAAACGUAGUGAUAUACAAAGUGGUUUUAGAUAAUAGAUGUGGAGAAAAUAGAUGGGAAAUACAGAUUGUGAUAGAUAUACAAGUGGUGAAGAUAUAGAAUGUGAAGAAUAAAGAGGGUGAUAGAUAUACAGAGUGGGAUAGAUAUACAGAGUAUGAGAAAUAUACAGAGUGGUAGAGAUAUAAGAUUGUGUAUAUAUACGAAUGUGUAGAUAUACAGAUAAUGAUAGAUAUCAAAAGGUAGUGAAGACAGUACAAAUGGGUUAAGAUAUACAGGGUGUGAUAGAAUAUGAUAGAUAUGGUGAUAGAUAUACUACAGAGUGGUGAGAGAAGAUUGUCGAUAUAUAUACAGAAUAGAUAUACAGUGAUAGAUAUCAAAAGGUAGUGAUAGACAUACAGAGGGUGGAUAGAUAUAUAGAUUGGGAUAGAUAACAGGUAGCUAUACAGAGAUAGAUUUACAGAGUAGUGAUAUAUAUACGGAGUGGUGAUAGAUAUACAGAGUGGUGAUAAAUGAACAGAGUGGUGAUAUAUAUAAAGAGUGGUAAUAGAUGUACAGAGGUGGUGAUAGAUAUACAGAUUGGUGAUAGAUAUAAAAUCGUUGUGAUAAACAAAGUGGUUUUAGAUAAAUAGAGUGGUGAUAGAUGUAUAGAUGGGAUAGAUAUACAGAGAAAUGAUCGAUAUACAGAGUGGUGAUAGAUACAUAAAGUGGUGAAAGAUAUAAAGAGAGGUGAUAGAUAGACAGAGGGGUGAUAGAUAUACGAGAUAUACAGAGUGAUGGAAAUAUACAAGUGAAUAGAUAUACAGAGUGGGUAGAUAUACAAAGUGUGAUAGAUAUAUAGAGUGUGGUAGUUGCAGAUUUGUGAUUGAUUUAAAGAGUGGUGAUAAAUAACGGUGGUGAUAUAUAUAAAGAGUGGUAUUGUGUACAGAAGUGGUGAUAGAUAUAUAGAUUGAUAUAGAUAUAAAAACGUAUGAUAUACAAAGUGGUUUUAGAUAAAUAGAGUGGUGAUAGAAUAUAGAUGGGAGAAAACAGAGUGAUGGCGAUAUACAGAUUGGUGAUGAUAUAAAGUGGUGAAAGAUAUAAAGAGAGGUGAUAGAUAGACAGAGGGGUGAUAGAUAUACAGAGUUGUGAUAGAUAUACAGAGUGAUGAGAAAUAUACAAAGUGAUGAUAGAUAUAC
rnacentral:lncRNA from 1 species